rnacentral:tRNA from 1 species
GGUUGUGUAGUGUAGAGGUUAUCACCAUCGGUUUUGAUCCGAUUGACCUGGGUUCGAACCCCAGCACGACCU